CUUCCUGCUUCCCAGCUCUGUGGUUUGCCUAAACUUACUUCCCUGGAAUACACUGGAGUUUGAUCUUUGAGAAAUGAUAUCUAAAAAGCCCACAUGUCAAAACUUAACUGUUCCAGCGGUAGGAUCAUAAUCUGCCUUUGAUCCUGUGAAUUGCUGAACCACAACUCUAUUCGUUGCCCAAGGACUGCAGGAAAUGUACACAGGGUUAUGCAAAUCUCUAGGAGAGGGAAUGUUUUGCAGGGAGGGGGGAAGAUGGCUCAUGCUGCCCCUGUCAGUCUCUGGAUUGCAGCUGAGUAGUUUGGCAGUCCCUGUGCUCUCCUGUGUGGCCCCGCUGCCAGUUCCCACGGCUCCUACCCCUCUCUGCUCACCGUCCAGUUGUGCAAGUCUGCAGCGGCCGGCUUUUUUCAGCUCUCUCCCUGCGUGUGCCGGUGGCAUUUACAGGCAGAGUCUGCAAGCUCGGUCCUUCGUCUGCAUUUUUCUCCAAGCCACCACUGCUUGCAAAGGAAUAGUCAAACCCUUGUAAAAACGCAAGUUGGACGUAGUGUGGGAGCACAUCAGUCAUCAACACAACAUUCAAAACAAGAGUGCUUGACAUCCUAACCAUGGCUCAGGGUAACAGAUCCUGAUAAAAAAAACCCCAUAAAAUAGAGGUCCUUUGAUACCUUCUCUAUUAUUUUUUAUUUUUUUCUUUUAUUUUUCCUUUGGGUAUGUAAGCUAAGUGGCACGACACUGGACUUUGGUACUUCACCCAAUUUACUUUAAUUUGCAUGUUGAAGAAAGAUAUCAAAAGGGCAGGAUGAAGCCACCUUUGCCCAGCUGCCCUGGUAGGGCUCCCCUGGCAGCCGUGCCGUGGUGUUGUGCUGUGCUGGGGACGGCUGUGCUGUGCCCAGAACAUAGCCCAGCCUUUUCCAUAAGCUGCGUAUGCCGUACAGGUACAGGGGCUGCACACACCCCAGUGUGGGGCAGUGCUGCAUCAGCUGGGCAGGAGCUUGUUUUGCUGUUUCUGUUUGGUUUUUUCACCUCGGUGAUAAUUCUUGCCCAAUGCGCGAUCUCUGCUCUGUGUACUUUACUACUCCUUGUGAUAAUCAAAAUCCGGCCCUGAACUUUUUCACUACAAAGGAAACAAGAACUUUGCCCUGCUGGCUGUUAACAGGGCACUCUGCGAUGCCUCAGCCUCUUCUCACGUGCAAAAACCCCUAAAGUCUGAGGAAAUCAGGCUUACGCUGAUGACAGAACGCUUAUUGUUUUUUCACCGGUGAGGGUGGAGAUCAGCUACUUUGACAUGGACAUGAGGUUUCUGGUGUCAGACUCCUCUUAAAAAAGGAGCAGGCACCCAACCAGUUUGGGGGGAAAAAAUCCCUUUAAACAGCAGGACCGCCAAUAACGGCUCAAAGUGCAACCUGUGGUGGGUUCAAAGCGCUGACACAUUAACCAGACCUUGGGCCACCGUCUGUAGUUGCCGCUGGGUGCCCACACCGUGGCUGCUGGGAGCGGGGAAUGAGGGUGGCCCUGUUAUUACCCGAGCGGAGAAAGGGCGCAGCGGUGUUUGCACAGUGCGGACGGAAGCGCUGGUGGUGGCCCUGAGGUGUUGGGUGUGCAGCGGCAGUGGGGCAGCGAUGACAAGGUGUAAUCUGCCCCAGGUGAAACCCCUGGCUCCAAGCCUCCCCCUGACCCCAAAAGAGGCAAAGCAUUUCUGGAUUCACUUGAAGACUGACACAUGGACAUGUUUCCAUUGAAGUUGCUACAGGUGAUAGGAGCUUUCUUCAGAAGACCGACAAAAGGACUGGAGCACAAGCUGGGGAGGUGAUGACUUACCUGCCACAGCUCGGUAGAUCGCAAUCUGGAACUGGCAGAGUGUUAACACAAUGCCCCAGCAGAGCUUUUCUGUCUCUAAUUUCAAUUAUUAUGUUGUUACUGGAUCAGUGAAGAGAAGCAUGAAAAGCACAAUUACCAGGAAGCCCUGUUCCUUUGCUUGCCCCUUUGUCUCACUGCGAAUGGGGCAUGUGACUCACGGAGCAAUAGAGGACCGGCUGUAAUCUCACGCACUACCGAGAAGGGUGCUGUCCGCCGAUGGGAUCCAAGCGUGGGAAAGCAAGCCUGACUGCUGGCUGGAAGGGCCAGUCACGUCAUGUUUUGCAGCUGGCAUCCAAAUGCAUCCUGAUGAAUCGAGUGAGAGCAGUUACCUUCUCCUGCCAUGACGGUGGCCGAGCAGCCGUGCAGAAGAGGGGCUGUAAAAACCUCCCCGCAUGCAAAAGCAGGGCAAGGGACGAUGUUGUGAAUGAGCUUACUGUGACAGCACAGCAAUGUUUUAUAGGCAGUGUUUUACUGGCAUAACAUCAGACUAAAGGGAGAGGGGAAGGGUAUCUUUGAGUUGUGGAUGCUGGUCCCAGGUUUGCUCAGUGCGGGACCAUGGUUAGUGGGCCUGACCCGACCCUGUUAUGCGAUGCAUAGUGGGAAUAGAGAAAUCCACUUGCUCUCUGCACUCCAAAUCAUGUAUAAAGCUAUGACCUCAACAGCAAAUAUCGGUACCAGCAGAGCAGCCAAUAUUUUUAUCAUUAAUUGCUAUCAAAAAUGUCAGCUCAAAGUCAUCAGAUUUGAUAGGUGAGCAUGCUCCAAACUGAUGGCUGAAGUGAAUUAUUUGCCUAUUGCGUGAUGCAAAAACAAUGUCUUGCAGGAGAGAACAGACAUUGGCAAACAAACUGACAAGAAGAUAUACUUCUGGGGAAGGCUUCUGAUUUGAUCUGGAAGGAAACAUUGAGUAUAAAUAGGGAGAAAGUUUACCUGAAUGAAAGGCGGGGUUCAGUCAUGGCUUGGACUUCCUUGCUCUGCUGGAGAACAGUGUGAAACCUACCUGCUAUUUUACUCCCUCUGAGCUGUUCUCAUUACAAAAGGUACCAGACACCUCAGAAAGUUUUUAAAGUAAUAAAGCAUUUUCUCCCCCCCAUCCCUGGUACAUCAAAUUUAUCAGUGACUAAUGAGCACAUAAAUUGCAGGAUGUGAAGAAAAAUCCCUUCAUCUUUCAGAAUUUUCCCUGCCUAUGGAACUGCAGCACAAAUCUUCCUGGUCUUUCUGUGCUGAGGGUCUAGGCAUGGGCAGACAGUACACGGUGCAGCACUGGCACACUAUUAAUGUAACUAUUAGGUGCUACAAAGUGAAUCAGAACCUGUUUAAAUACUGGUAUAACCAUGCAGAAUAUCAUCCAGGACAUGUUCCUGUGGGAUUUGGUCACUGUCUUUAUUUCACAUAGCGGGAAAAAACCCCAUCUGGAAGCAGGAUUCCUGCGAAGGGAAAGUUAGCUAUGCCUGCCAGGGAUCUCUUUUGCCCCCAAAAAUUCAGACAUCAUAGGACAUAAGCAGAAAAUGAAAGGGAACCAGCGAGGGGAAAACCAAACAGGCUGGGGUCUUCUUGCCACUUCUUUUGAAGUCCCCAGUGUAACUCCUGGCAUCUUCAGUGGGGUUUGGCUGGGGUCUGUGCAGAAGCGCCUUUGAAGAUUUUGCUAAGGCUCAAGGCCUUGAUCAUGGCAACUUUUAUGCCUGUGAGCAACUCUGUGCAGAUGAGCACUUCCAGGGUGCUCAGCAGGAUGCUUCGGAUGAGACUUUGCAGGGCCGGUCUUAAGCAAUGAGUGCUUAAGAGAAACAUUCUGCUUGUCAUGCUUUUAUCCUUGAUCACAUCAAAUGAAAUGCCUUGGCAGUUCUGGAAGAAUGAAUUUGCAUUGAAAACCCACAGCUCUUACAAGCAGUGCAUUAAUUAUUUUAUUAAUUUGCUCUUUUUACAUUAUGGGAAACAUUCAUCUAUUUACAUUUUCCUGUCCACACACAAACCAGAUAGAUAAUCCUAUGGAAACCCAAAUCAUUAAGCCAUAAAAACACUCUCCUCUGUCUAAAGGCUUUCAUAUUUGUGUCUUUUGUUUCAAAUCAAAAACAUUUUUAAAAUCACAUUUGGGAAUGCAGGUAGGCCAGUGAUUUACAUUCUACUUAAAAUAUGCAUUUGACCAUUUUCCUUAAAAAAAAAAACCAAAACAAAAAACCAAAACCCCCAAUAAAUUCACAAAGAUACACUUCAAAUUAAAGUGAUAGUGCACAUCAAAGCAUUAAGGGAACACCAAUAAAUAAACUGAAAUAUAUUACAAAUAAAUUAUUUCUAUUUACCUUUUCAAAUAUUAAAAAUCUUUAAUCCAUUUCUUCAUCUUUCUUUACAAAAAGAUUAUGAGAAUUUUAUGGAAACAUCUGCAAAAAAUAUAAUAAAUACCUCUUUUUUUUUGUUUUUUAACUUUUGAAGCAGGAAACAAAACCAACCUUUUCUAAAAUUUCUCCCAAGGAAAAAAAAAGCAAUAGUUUAGUCCCAAAGUGAAACAGAAUAUAGGCAUUUUUAAUAUACACUGGGCAGUUUAGACUAAAAACAAAUAGUUACAAAUUAUACUAAAACAGAUGAUGGAGCAAAUAUACUAGCAUUAGUGUUGGUAAAUGAGUCAAGUGGUCAACUAGUGGCAUUUUAUGGGCAGAAUUAUUUUAUUUUGUAUUUUCUGGUAUUGGCUGUAUUUUUAAUAUUCUGCUAAAAAACUAGGCAAACAUUAUAAUAACCUCUCCAGUGCCAAAUGAACUAACAAGCAUUCAGCUAAGAAUAAAUUCAUUUAAAAUAGAUACAAAAAAUAUUCUAUGAUAUACAAAUACAACAAUUUGUAAUGUACAAGACUAGAUAGUCUUCACCUUUUUUCUUUUUUUAGGGGGGGGACUUACUGGAUAUAAAUUUCUGUAGCCACUUGUCAACCAAAGUCUUAACUCAUCUUUCGUAAAACGUUCACAAAAACUAAGUAAGUCUGCGACACAGUUGUGAAUGUGGACUCUCACCUAGGUACUGCUUCGAAUACUUCAGUACAAAUGAGUUCCAAAUAAUUAAUACUUCCUAUGACUAUAUAUGCUCAAAAGUGGCAGUUGGCACUAUUACAUACUGCAAACACGGUGAUGUUUUGUUGCUGCUAAAAGUUAAACGCAGUGUUUCAAAACUAGCAAAUACACUGGUAUUCAAACGCUUAGAGGGUCAAACCUUUUGAAGCUCCUGUAACACCAAGCACUCUAGAGUUACACUGGAUUUCUGAUUACUCUAGUUAAAAGUCUUUUAUAUAUUAAAUUAUUAGCCCUUAUCUUGUAAACCACAGCAGUAAAUAUUUGUGCCCUGUUUAUAAAGACAUAGCUCAGAUAUUGAUGGCUUUGAGAGGUAGCAAAUUCUCUAGUGGUUUUAGUAUGCUCUCAUGAAAAUACUUGGUGCCAGAACCUAUUACCUCUCCUAUAUUCUCAAAUAAAAUUAAAUUAGCACCUGGCUAUGAUGUCAUAGGAAAAGAAGCUGUCUGGCAUGGUCUCAAUGAGUAGUUUUAGCAAGACCUUAACAUCUUGAUGACGAUUUUCAAUGCCUUUUAAGUGCAAGCUGCAGAAUCACGCCACACGUGCAGUGGGGUUUUUCACUGGUUGGACUGUCCAUAGAGGCUGAGCAGAAGUGGGCACAGCCAGCCAGCAGUGGCGUGCAGCAAGGGCUGCCACCUGUGCCCCUCCAUGGUGAGGCUGUCCCUGUGCUCACUGGGAGCAGAAAGCAGCCUGCCUUCCUCUCCCGCGUACCCCUGCCCUGGCAGACGGCAUGAAGAGCACGUCGGGAGCGGCAGAGGAGUCUGGAAAACAUCACUGCAGGAUGCACAUGCUCUGAGGACUGCACAGUGCUCCUCUGCUCGCACCAGGCCUGUCACCCAGAGCAGCCCUGUCACCCAGAGCAGCCCUGUCACCCCAAGCAGCCCACGAUGAUUCUGCUGGCAGCAGCACGUGCCAGUCCGGCACGCGUGUGCGCACUCACACACGCUCACACGCUCGCACACAACUCGCUUUCAGCAACAUGCCUGACGUAGCUUUCCUAAUGUUGGCACAAGAGAUUCCAGUAGCAGCGUGGUCGGCAUCGUUCCUCAUCAGGGGAGCUGGAGGACAGGCCCCUGCCCCAGCCAGAGGUGGCUGGAGGGGACAGACACACAGGAGCUGACCUUUCAGGCUCCUCUCCAGCCCUAUGAUCUGCCACUUCCGCCCACUAUUAAUGAGCUACUUAGGAUGCAUAUUUUUCGUGAUUGCAAAACAAUGGCAGAAGCCAGGGUAGGAAGGCUUGUCGUGAAAAAUAUUAAGUUCAUAUUGAUCCCAUAACUUGUGAAAAAUAGUCUAUUAUUCUUGUUCAAGUGAGUACUUUAUACUAUUAAGAGGAGGCUGAAUUAGAAAUUUACUCCUAGAUAUGGACAGUUUGGUGAUAAGCAGUCUGAACUGUAGCAUACAACCAGCUGUGGAUAGAGCAAAGCAAGCCUGGCCUGGAAAAGCAUCAGAGGCUCCAUGUACAGUAAUUCACCUACAGGUGUCCGUGUGUGGCUGCAUGGACGUAUGAGAUCGGAUGGUCCCACCGAGAUUAAGACAUCAACAAAACCAAGCUUUUUUUUUUUUUUCUUUUUUUUUUCUUUUUUUUUUUUUAACCAAUAUAAUCCAUACAAUACAAUACAAGAGGAAUUGACAAUACAGUACAAUUUUAAAAAUUCUUAAUACUUGGACAAGAAAAUCCUUCUUUUCUAUUAUCUCUUCAACUGUCAUUGCUUCUUAUCUCCUUCCUUUUUACUCUUUUAUUGCCUUUCAAAAUAGAUUAUUUCCCUGGAAGAUCGAAUUUACAAUCUUCUGCUGAUUGAAAUGUUUAAGUAGUGAUUGAUGAAAUAAAAAUGAGGCAGUUUGUA